GUGAGGAAUAUUGGUCAAUGGGCGAAAGCCUGAACCAGCCAUGUCGCGUGAAGGAUGAAGGUCCUAUGGAUUGUAAACUUCUUUUGCAGGAGGGUAAAGUGAGCUACGUGUAGUUCAUUGCAAGUACCCUGCGAAUAAGCAUCGGCUAACUCCGUGCCAGCAGCCGCGGUAAUACGGAGGAUGCGAGCGUUAUCCGGAUUUAUUGGGUUUAACGGGUGCGUAGGCGGACUAAUUAGUCAGCGGUGAAAUUUUGCGGCUCAACCGUAAAACUGCCGUUGAAACUGUUAGUCUUGAGUGCGGUAGAGGUAGGCGGAAUGUGUGGUGUAGCGGUGAAAUGCUUAGAUAUCACACAGAACACCGAUUGCGUAGGCAGCUUACUGGAGCGAAACUGACGCUGAGGCACGAAAGCGUGGGGAUCGAACAGGAUUCGAAACCCUGGUAGUCC
rnacentral:rRNA from 1 species